rnacentral:rRNA from 1 species
UACGUAGGGGGCUAGCGUUGUCCGGAAUCAUUGGGCGUAAAGCGCGUGUAGGCGGUUCGGUAAGUCCGCUGUGAAAGUCGGGGGCUCAACCCUCGAAAGCCGGUGGAUACUGUCGGACUAGAGUGCGGAAGAGGCGAGUGGAAUUCCUGGUGUAGCGGUGAAAUGCGUAGAUAUAUGGAGGAAUACCGGUGGCGAAGGCGGCCUCCUGGCUCGAUACUGACGCUGAGGUGCGAAAGCGUGGGGAUCAAACAGG